rnacentral:rRNA from 2 species
GUAGUUUGAUAUUGAGUGUCUGUACCGCAUGUACAGGAUAGGUAGGAGCCGUAGAAAUCGGAACGCUAGUUUCGAUGGAGGCGCUGGUGGGAUACUACCCCUGCGUUAUGGCCACUCUAACCCGCACCACUGAUCGUGGUGGGAGACAGUGUCAGAUGGGCAGUUUGACUGGGGCGGUCGCCUCCUAAAAGGUAACGGAGGCGCCCAAAGGUUCCCUCAGAAUGGUUGGAAAUCAUUCGAAGAGUGUAAAGGCAGAAGGGAGCUUGACUGCGAGACCAACAAGUCGAGCAGGGACGAAAGU